rnacentral:rRNA from 1 species
AUUGAACGCUGGCGGCAGGCUUAACACAUGCAAGUCGAGCGAGCGGCGGACGGGUGAGUAAUGUCUGGGAAAAUGCCUGAUGGAGGGGGAUAACUACUGGAAACGGUAGCUAAUACCGCAUACCAUCAGAUGUGCCCAGAUGGGAUUAGCUAGUAGGUGGGGUAAUGGCUCACCUAGGCGACGAUCCCUAGCUGGUCUGAGAGGAAGACCAGCCACACUGGACCUGAGCCCCGGUCCAGACUCCUACGGGAGGCAGCAGUGGGGAAUAUUGCACAAUGGGCGCAAGCCUGAUCCAGCCAUCCCGCGUGUGCGAUGAAGGCCUUCGGGUUGUAAAGCACUUUUGGCAGGAAAGCGGUACCUGCAGAAUAAGCACCGGCUAACUACGUGCCAGCAGCCGCGGUAAUAC